rnacentral:rRNA from 1 species
CCUACGGGAGGCAGCAGUAGGGAAUUUUCGUCAAUGGGCGCAAGCCUGAACGAGCAAUGCCGCGUGAACGAGGAAGGUCUUAGGAUCGGAAAGUUCUGUUGAAGGGGAAAAAGAGGGGAGAGAGGAAAUGCAUUCUGAUUGAUAUUACACUUCAAGGCAGUCACGGCUAACUACGUGCCAGCAGCCGCGGUAAUACGUAGGUGGCGAGCGUUAUCCGGAAUGAUUGGGCGUAAAGGGUGCGUAGGCGGCCUGCUAAGUCUGGAGUGAAGGGUACCGGCUCAACCGGUACAGGCUCUGGAAACUGGCAGACUAGAGGGCAGGAGAGGGCGGUGGAACGCCAUGUGUAGCGGUAAAAUGCGUAGAUAUAUGGAAGAACACCAGUGGCGAAGGCGGCCGCCUGGCCUGUUACUGACGCUGAGGCACGAAAGCGUGGGGAGCAAAUAGGAUUAGAUACCCCUGUAGUC